GACGAACGCUGGCGGCGUGCUUAACACAUGCAAGUCGAACGGAAAGGCCUGCUUUCCCUUGUGGAUUGCGGGUACUCGAGUGGCGAACGGGUGAGUAACACGUGAGUGAUCUGCCCCCAACUUGGGUAUAAGCCUGGGAAACUGGGUCUAAUUUCCGAUAGGACUGCAGGGUGGUGCCUGUGGUGGAAAACGAUUUUCUAGUGGUUGGGGAUGAGCUCGCGGCCUAUCAGCUUGUUGGUGGGGUAAUGGCCUACCAAGGCGGCGACGGGUAGCCGGCCUGGGAGGGUGGACGGCCACAUUGGGACUGGGAUACGGCCCAGACUCCUACGGGAGGCAGCAGUGGGGAAUAUUGGACAAUGGGCGGAAGCCUGAUGCAGCGACGCCGCGUGGGGGAUGACGGCCUUCGGGUUGUAAACUCCUUUCGACCGCGAGGAAGCCACCUGGUUGGAAGGGUGGUGACGGUAGUGGUAGAAGAAGCACCGGCUAACUACGUG
rnacentral:rRNA from 1 species